UGGUCCCUGGCUGCAGCAAGGUAAACAAGAAUUUCUGAGCACAACCACCACAAAUUCAUAAUCAGUUAGUAAUCAUUCAUUUGGGAUUUGAGAUUCUAAAAGAUUUUAAACAAAGCGUAAUUAGCCCAACUAUGCUGCCUUUAUCAGAAAAAGUUGUAAUCAUAGAUCUUGGAUUAUCUGGAGGAUUAACAAAUGAUUAAUGAUGAUAAGUUGGUUAUGUCGCCUUCACCUUUUUCACGAAAAAAGUUGUGGGGACUAGCUUUUGUAACAAGAAAAAAAUAUAGUGGUACCACUGGUAGGGCUGUCUCGUCAUUUCGCCAUCUCUUCACUGGUUUCUCUCAUCUUUCCAAGACAACUAGACAAGUGCUUCUGAAGCAACAGAGUCCUCUGUUCUCCAAGGCCAGUUUUGUCAUUCGACAUGAGAAGACAUUGUUUUUUGUUUUAGUGUUCAUAUUCAUGGUGGAAAUGGAAUAGCUGGGUUCGAACUUUAGAACCAAGGAGAUUGGCUUUCUUUCGGAUAUGCUAACAGGAGCCAA
rnacentral:lncRNA from 1 species